GACGUAGGGCGCGAGCGUUGUCCGGAUUUAUUGGGCGUAAAGAGCUCGUAGGCGGCUUGUCGCGUCGUCCGUGAAAACCCACAGCUCAACUGUGGGCUUGCGGUCGAUACGGGCAGGCUAGAGUUCGGUAGGGGAGACUGGAAUUCCUGGUGUAGCGGUGAAAUGCGCAGAUAUCAGGAGGAACACCAAUAGCGAAGGCAGCUCGCUGGGACGGUACUGACGCUAAGGCGCGAAAGCGUGGGGAGCGAACAGG
rnacentral:rRNA from 1 species